rnacentral:tRNA from 1 species
GGUGGCUCAGUGGUAGAGUGCUUGCCUUGCUUGCAUGUGAUCCUGGGUUCAAUUCCUCAGCACCA